GGUCAAGUGAAGAAGCGCAUACGGUGGAUGCCUUGGCAGUCAGAGGCGAUGAAAGACGUGGUAGCCUGCGAAAAGCUUCGGGGAGUCGGCAAACAGACUUUGAUCCGGAGAUGUCUGAAUGGGGGAACCCAGCCAUCAUAAGAUGGUUAUCUUGUACUGAAUACAUAGGUGCAAGAGGCGAACCAGGGGAACUGAAACAUCUAAGUACCCUGAGGAAAAGAAAUCAACCGAGAUUCCCUUAGUAGUGGCGAGCGAACGGGGACUAGCCCUUAAGUGGCUUUGAGAUUAGCGGAACGCUCUGGAAAGUGCGGCCAUAGUGGGUGAUAGCCCUGUACGCGAAAAUCUCUUAGUCAUGAAAUCGAGUAGGACGGAGCACGAGAAACUUUGUCUGAAUAUGGGGGGACCAUCCUCCAAGGCUAAAUACUACUGACUGACCGAUAGUGAACUAGUACCGUGAGGGAAAGGCGAAAAGAACCCCGGAGAGGGGAGUGAAAUAGAUCCUGAAACCGUAUGCGUACAAGCAGUGGGAGCAGACUUUGUUCUGUGACUGCGUACCUUUUGUAUAAUGGGUCAGCGACUUAUUUUCAGUGGCGAGCUUAACCGAAUAGGGGAGGCGUAGCGAAAGCGAGUCUUAAUAGGGCGUCUAGUCGCUGGGAAUAGACCCGAAACCGGGCGAUCUAUCCAUGGGCAGGUUGAAGGUUAGGUAACACUGACUGGAGGACCGAACCGACUACCGUUGAAAAGUUAGCGGAUGACCUGUGGAUCGGAGUGAAAGGCUAAUCAAGCUCGGAGAUAGCUGGUUCUCCUCGAAAGCUAUUUAGGUAGCGCCUCAUGUAUCACUGUAGGGGGUAGAGCACUGUUUCGGCUAGGGGGUCAUCCCGACUUACCAAACCGAUGCAAACUCCGAAUACCUACAAGUGCCGAGCAUGGGAGCACACGGCGGGUGCUAACGUCCGUCGUGAAAAGGGAAACAACCCAGACCGUCAGCUAAGGUCCCAAAGUUAUGGUUAAGUGGGAAACGAUGUGGGAAGGCUUAGACAGCUAGGAGGUUGGCUUAGAAGCAGCCACCCUUUAAAGAAAGCGUAAUAGCUCACUAGUCGAGUCGGCCUGCGCGGAAGAUGUAACGGGGCUCAAACCAUACACCGAAGCUACGGGUAUCAUCUUCGGAUGAUGCGGUAGAGGAGCGUUCUGUAAGCCUGUGAAGGUGAGUUGAGAAGCUUGCUGGAGGUAUCAGAAGUGCGAAUGCUGACAUGAGUAACGACAAUGGGUGUGAAAAACACCCACGCCGAAAGACCAAGGUUUCCUGCGCAACGUUAAUCGACGCAGGGUUAGUCGGUCCCUAAGGCGAGGCUGAAAAGCGUAGUCGAUGGAAAACAGGUUAAUAUUCCUGUACUUCUGGUUAUUGCGAUGGAGGGACGGAGAAGGCUAGGCCAGCUUGGCGUUGGUUGUCCAAGUUUAAGGUGGUAGGCUGAGAUCUUAGGUAAAUCCGGGAUCUUAAGGCCGAGAGCUGAUGACGAGUGUUCUUUUAGAACACGAAGUGGUUGAUGCCAUGCUUCCAAGAAAAGCUUCUAAGCUUCAGGUAACCAGGAACCGUACCCCAAACCGACACAGGUGGUUGGGUAGAGAAUACCAAGGCGCUUGAGAGAACUCGGGUGAAGGAACUAGGCAAAAUGGCACCGUAACUUCGGGAGAAGGUGCGCCGGUGAGGGUGAAGGACUUGCUCCGUAAGCUCAUGCCGGUCGAAGAUACCAGGCCGCUGCGACUGUUUAUUAAAAACACAGCACUCUGCAAACACGAAAGUGGACGUAUAGGGUGUGACGCCUGCCCGGUGCCGGAAGGUUAAUUGAUGGGGUUAGCUAACGCGAAGCUCUUGAUCGAAGCCCCGGUAAACGGCGGCCGUAACUAUAACGGUCCUAAGGUAGCGAAAUUCCUUGUCGGGUAAGUUCCGACCUGCACGAAUGGCGUAACGAUGGCGGCGCUGUCUCCACCCGAGACUCAGUGAAAUUGAAAUCGCUGUGAAGAUGCAGUGUAUCCGCGGCUAGACGGAAAGACCCCGUGAACCUUUACUAUAGCUUUGCACUGGACUUUGAAUUUGCUUGUGUAGGAUAGGUGGGAGGCUUUGAAGCGUGGACGCCAGUUCGCGUGGAGCCAUCCUUGAAAUACCACCCUGGCAACUUUGAGGUUCUAACUCAGGUCCGUUAUCCGGAUCGAGGACAGUGUAUGGUGGGUAGUUUGACUGGGGCGGUCUCCUCCUAAAGAGUAACGGAGAGUACGAAGGUGCGCUCAGACCGGUCGGAAAUCGGUCGUAGAGUAUAAAGGCAAAAGCGCGCUUGACUGCGAGACAGACACGUCGAGCAGGUACGAAAGUAGGUCUUAGUGAUCCGGUGGUUCUGUAUGGAAGGGCCAUCGCUCAACGGAUAAAAGGUACUCCGGGGAUAACAGGCUGAUACCGCCCAAGAGUUCAUAUCGACGGCGGUGUUUGGCACCUCGAUGUCGGCUCAUCACAUCCUGGGGCUGAAGCCGGUCCCAAGGGUAUGGCUGUUCGCCAUUUAAAGUGGUACGCGAGCUGGGUUUAGAACGUCGUGAGACAGUUCGGUCCCUAUCUGCCGUGGACGUUUGAGAUUUGAGAGGGGCUGCUCCUAGUACGAGAGGACCGGAGUGGACGAACCUCUGGUGUUCCGGUUGUCACGCCAGUGGCAUUGCCGGGUAGCUAUGUUCGGGAAAGAUAACCGCUGAAAGCAUCUAAGCGGGAAACUUGCCUCAAGAUGAGAUCUCACUGGAACCUUGAGUUCCCUGAAGGGCCGUCGAAGACUACGACGUUGAUAGGUUGGGUGUGUAAGCGCUGUGAGGCGUUGAGCUAACCAAUACUAAUUGCCCGUGAGGCUUGACCAU
rnacentral:rRNA from 1 species